rnacentral:rRNA from 1 species
UACGUAGGGUGCAAGCGUUUAAUCGGAAUUACUGGGCGUAAAGCGUGCGCAGGCGGUUUGUAAGUCUGACGUGAAAUCCCCGGGCUCAACCUGGGAAUUGCGUUGGAGACUGCAAGGCUGGAGUCUGGCAGAGGGGGGUAGAAUUCCACGUGUAGCAGUGAAAUGCGUAGAGAUGUGGAGGAACACCGAUGGCGAAGGCAGCCCCCUGGGUCAAGAUUGACGCUCAUGCACGAAAGGCGUGGGGAGCAAACAGGAUUAACGAAACCCCGAG